rnacentral:RNase_P_RNA from 1 species
GAUGGCCGCGAUCGCGUAUGCGAUUGAGGAACUUCCGGGCUCCAAAGAGCACGAUGGCAGAUAACGUCUGCCCAGGGUGACCUGAGAGAUAGCGCAGCAGAGAACAGACCGCCGGCUGUUGGCCGGUAAGGGUGAAACGGCGGUGUAAGAGACCACCGGGCUUCUGGUAACAGAACGCCGCACGGCAAGCCUCAUCGGGAGCAAGGCCAAGCAGAAGGCUAUAGAGUUGCUCGCUCUGCCUUCGGGUAGGCUGCUAGAGCCUGACGGCAACGUCAGGUCGAGAUGGAUGGCCAUCCGUUUGCAUUUGCAUUCGACAGAACCCGGGGUAUAAGAGGUCU